GAUGAACGCUGGCGGCGUGCCUAAUACAUGCAAGUCGAGCGAACAGACGAGAAGCUUGCUCCUCUGACGUUAGCGGCGGACGGGUGAGUAACACGUGGAUAACCUACCUAUAAGACUGGGAUAACUUCGGGAAACCGGAGCUAAUACCGGAUGAUAUAUUGAACCGCAUGGUUCAAUAGUGAAAGACGGUUUUGCUGUCACUUAUAGAUGGAUCCGCGCCGCAUUAGCUAGUUGGUAAGGUAACGGCUUACCAAGGCAACGAUGCAUAGCCGACCUGAGAGGGUGAUCGGCCACACUGGAACUGAGACACGGUCCAGACUCCUACGGGAGGCAGCAGUAGGGAAUCUUCCGCAAUGGGCGAAAGCCUGACGGAGCAACGCCGCGUGAGUGAUGAAGGUCUUCGGAUCGUAAAACUCUGUUAUUAGGGAAGAACAAAUGUGUAAGUAACUAUGCACGUCUUGACGGUACCUAAUCAGAAAGCCACGGCUAACUACGUG
rnacentral:rRNA from 1 species